GUGCCAGCCGCCGCGGUAAUACGGAGGGUGCAAGCGUUGUUCGGAAUUAUUGGGCGUAAAGGGCGCGCAGGCGGUCUGUUAAGUCCGAUGUGAAAGCCCCGGGCUCAACCCGGGAAGUGCAUUGGAAACUGGCAGACUUGAGUACGGGAGAGGGAAGUGGAAUUCCGCAUGUAGGGGUGAAAUCCGUAGAUAUGCGGAGGAACACCGGUGGCGAAGGCGGCUUCCUGGACCGAUACUGACGCUGAGGCGCGAAAGCGUGGGGAGCAAACAGGAUUAGAUACCCUCGUAGUCC
rnacentral:rRNA from 1 species